GGGCCGGUUGCUCCCGGACGCAGGGCCAGUCGGCGCUCAGCACAAUGCACCUGUCCUCCCGCCAGCGGUCACGGGACACUUAGCCCUGAGCCCCGCGCCGUGGGGGCUUCUCCCCAGCUGGCCCCCCUGGGGUGUCCGCCCUCUUCCCCUGCUGGCUUCCAGGAUCCCCCUGGCUCCCGCACGCUGUCCCCCAGCUCUGCUCCCCCGCGCACCCUGGGCUCCCAGCACCCGCAGGCGGGUCCUCCAACACAUCACUUCAGUUUUCAUGUUACCCCACCUGUCAGGAUUCGCCUCCUCCACAUGAAGGCCAGCUGCAGACCCCGGCCCUGCACGGCGUCCUCUAGCUGCCCUGGCUGGCUGCAGAGCCCCAGCACCAGCGCACCGCUUGGCUAAUGCCGUUAAAUAAUGGAAACCAGGUUUUCUGUUGACCGUUUGGGCCGUUUGUGUUUGCAGAGUUUCCAUCACGGACAGGCCCUCGCAUCUCGCCUCUUGGUCUCGGGGAGGGCACCUUCUCCCCUGGGCCCGGGCGCUGUUCAGAGGCUCAGCUGAGCUCCUGGACCCGGCUCUGCAGCCUGUGGCCGAAUCCAGAGAGCGGGCAGGGCAGCCAAGGGUGCUGGUGCACAGAGGCCCCAUGCCCGCCCGAGCCCCUGCCCCUUUUCUAGUCUGCAGAGCCCUCAGCCACUCACCCGACAGGCUGUUACCACCAGCCUCCAGGGGCUCCGGCCGCACCUCCUCUCCUCCCCAUGUCUCCUGCCCGGCCCCCCUGGAAGCCUGGCUUCAGCACGGUGCCCAGUGGCUGUGGCUUGGUGCCCUAGGAGCCACCCGGCAGAGCUGAGCCCCCCGAUCUGUGGCUCUGCAAGGUGGGUUGUGACGCAAGCUCCGGCUCGGGCUCGCAGAGCUGCACAAUCACAGCAGACGGAUCGCCACGGACGCGCCAAGAGGCCAGCCUGGAGCUGCCGUCUCUGUCCUCACCCUCAUGUGCCCACGCGAGGCCGGUGGCACCGCAUGAGGUGACGCCCCAUCCACCCGGAGCCGACGCGGCUGCGCACAGGGUGCUGGGGCGACCAAGCCAGGAGGGGCCUCCUCACGGCCAAGGGUCACAGCCCCCAGGACGAGGGGCACAUCGCGGGGUGAGAACGAGAAGAACCGGAGCUCACCACGGGGAGCAGGAAAACAGGGCUUCAUGCCCGCCGGGGCCACCUGAGCCAGCAUUGCAGGUGCUGUGCAUUGGAAGUCACAGCUAGCAGGUGUGCAGAGGCCACCUGUCACCUUACGAAGACAGACGGUCAGCGUCGUGGACAGUGGUGGGAGAGCGAAACCGUGUCCUGUCACAGGAGCGGGAACUGUCGUUUCAGAACGGUUCUAACAAUUUCAGGAAGAUUCUAACAAACACGUCAGACAUGGAUUCCAUGUGUCAUCUAUUAACAAUUCAGUUGGAAGUAAAUAUGUGCUCCUCACAGCUCUGCCAGAUGACUCAAAAAUGACUUCAUUAAUGAUGAAAAACAGAUGUCAAAAUGCAUGUAAAUGGUUUGAAUAAAACUGAUGUAU